AGAGUUUGAUCCUGGCUCAGAUUGAACGCUGGCGGCAUGCUUUACACAUGCAAGUCGAACGGCAGCGCGGGCUUCGGCCUGGCGGCGAGUGGCGAACGGGUGAGUAAUACAUCGGAACGUGCCCAGUAGUGGGGGAUAGCUCGGCGAAAGCCGGAUUAAUACCGCAUACGACCUGAGGGUGAAAGCGGGGGAUCUUCGGACCUCGCGCUAUUGGAGCGGCCGAUGGCAGAUUAGCUAGUUGGUGGGGUAAAGGCCUACCAAGGCGACGAUCUGUAGCUGGUCUGAGAGGACGACCAGCCACACUGGGACUGAGACACGGCCCAGACUCCUACGGGAGGCAGCAGUGGGGAAUUUUGGACAAUGGGCGAAAGCCUGAUCCAGCAAUGCCGCGUGUGUGAUGAAGGCCUUCGGGUUGUAAAGCACUUUUGGCGGGAACGAAAAGGACUGUGCCAAUACCACGGUUCGAUGACGGUACCCGCAGAAUAAGCACCGGCUAACUACGUGCCAGCAGCCGCGGUAAUACGUAGGGUGCAAGCGUUAAUCGGAAUUACUGGGCGUAAAGAGUGCGCAGGCGGUUUUGCAAGACCGAUGUGAAAUCCCCGGGCUUAACCUGGGAACUGCAUUGGUGACUGCAAGGCUAGAGUGUGUCAGAGGGAGGUGGAAUUCCGCAUGUAGCAGUGAAAUGCG
rnacentral:rRNA from 1 species